GAUGAAGAACGCAGCGAAAUGCGAUACGUAAUGUGAAUUGCAGAUUUCAGUGAAUCAUCGAAUCUUUGAACGCACAUUGCGCCCGCUAGUAUUCUGGCGGGCAUGCCUGUUCGAGCGUCAUUUCAACCAUCAAGCCCUAGGCUUGCGUUGGAGCCCUGCGGCUGCCGCAGGCUCCCAAAUCCAGUGGCGGGCUCGUCGUCGUACCGAGUGCAGUAAACAUCCUCGCUCAGGGAACGUGACGGGUUCUUGCCGUGAAACCCCCCACAUAUCAAGGUUGACCUCGGAUCAGGUAGGAAUACCCGCUGCACUUAAGCAUAUCAAUAAGCGGCGGA
rnacentral:misc_RNA from 1 species